UACAGAGGGGGCAAGCGUUGUCCGGAAUUAUUGGGCGUAAAGCGCGCGCAGGCGGUCCUUUAAGUCUGAUGUGAAAGCCCACGGCUCAACCGUGGAAGGUCAUUGGAAACUGGAGGACUUGAGUACAGAAGAGGAAAGCGGAAUUCCACGUGUAGCGGUGAAAUGCGUAGAGAUGUGGAGGAACACCAGUGGCGAAGGCGGCUUUCUGGUCUGUAACUGACGCUGAGGCGCGAAAGCGUGGGGAGCAAACAGG
rnacentral:rRNA from 1 species